rnacentral:rRNA from 1 species
UACGUAGGGGGCUAGCGUUGUCCGGAAUCAUUGGGCGUAAAGCGCGUGUAGGCGGUUCGGUAAGUCCGCUGUGAAAGUCGGGGGCUCAACCCUCGAAUGCCGGUGGAUACUGUCGGGCUAGAGUGCGGAAGGGGCAAUCAGAAUUCUUGGUGUGGCGGUGAAAUGCGUAGAUAUCAAGAGGAAUACCUGAGGUGAAGACGGGUUGCUAGGCCGACACUGACGCUGAAGCGCGAAAGCCAGGGGAGCAAACGGG